rnacentral:rRNA from 1 species
CCUACGGGUGGCUGCAGUGGGGAAGAUUGCGCAAUGGGCGAAAGCCUGACGCAGCGACGCCGCGUGAGGGAUGAAGGUCUUCGGAUCGUAAACCUCUGUCAGCAGGGAAGAACGGUCACUGUGCUAAUCAGCAGUGAAUUGACGGUACCUACCAAAGAAGCACCGGCUAACUCCGUGCCAGCAGCCGCGGUAAUACGGAGAGUGCGAGCGUUAAUCGGAAUUACUGGGCGUAAAGCGCUCGUAGGCGGUAUGUCAAGUCAAGGGUGAAAUCCCCGCGCUCAACGUGGGAACUGCCUUUGAUACUGGCAAGCUGGAGUGUGUGAGAGGGUGGUGGAAUUCCAGGUGUAGGGGUGAAAUCCGUAGAUAUCUGGAGGAACAUCAGUGGCGAAGGCGACUAUCUGGCACAUAACUGACGCUGAGGAGCGAAAGCGUGGGUAGCAAACAGGAUUAGAUACCCGGGUAGUC